UGUGUGUGUGUGUUAGUGUGUGUGUACGUGUAUGUGUCUCAGUUCAACUGCUUGUUUACCCAUGCUGUCAUGUUAGCAGCUCGUGCAGCAGUCAGCAGGGGAGAGGCAGAAGUGGACCUGACAGACUGAACAUAACAAAGGAAUGUAUUUGGGAAGUUUCUGCCUCCAUCUUGAGUCGAAAGAAAUCUGAGGGGACCAACUUUCCUUGCAGCAGUCAAGCGCUGACAGCAAGCAGAGCGGUGUGACAAAAGGUGGCUGUGUGAACCUCUGCAGCGGCUAGACGGCAGCAUGUGUCCACACUGGUUUGUAGAUUUACAUCGAAGCGCUGGCCUGCACUGGAUCUCGAAGCGGGAGUCCAUCUGACACCAGAGGAUGUUUGAUCGUCUGUGUCCAGCCUGUGCCCUGUUGGUAUGUUGGCCAUUUGGAAUACUUUCCACUGUGCAGACUGGACGGCACAGAGGCUAUGAUAUUUUGUUAUUACUUUAAAUUUUAGACGAUAUAUUAAAGGCUAGAAAAACUGUACUAAUGCACAUAAUUUGUCUAUUUUGCUCUAUUUGAUACUAGUUAAUUUUAUUUUAUUCCCAGAAUGAGAAUGUUUUUUACACCAAUAUAAUACUUUUUAAUUAGAUUUUUUUUAUUACAUUUUUAUUAAUGUAUGUUUUUUCGUAACAGCCCACAUUAAGAAAUUUGAAUCAUUUUAAAAUAUCGAUGCUCGUCAAAAACUCAAUGUCAUUUAAACAAUACUUCUUUAUUCAACUUGAUUAAUGUAUUUCACAUUUUCACAUGAUUAUGAUUGGAAUUUCUCAUUUCUUUCACUGCAUUUAUGGCUACAUUUAGAAUUAUAUUUCCUUUUAGAAGCUAUC